rnacentral:rRNA from 1 species
AUUGAACGCUGGCGGCAUGCCUUACACAUGCAAGUCGAACGCGAAAGGGGGCAACCCUGAGUAGAGUGGCGCACAGGUGAGCAAUACAUCGGAACAUACCCAGUAGUGGGGGACAACCAGUCGAAAGACUGGCUAAUACCGCAUACGACCUACGGGUGAAAGCGGGGGACCGUAAGGCCUCGCGCUAUUGGAUUGGCCGAUGUCUGAUUAGCUAGUUGGUGAGGUAACGGCUAACCAAGGCGACGAUCAGUAGCUGGUCUGAGAGGAUGAUCAGCCACACUGGGACUGAGACACGGCCCAGACUCCUACGGGAGGCAGCAGUGGGGAAUUAUGGACAAUGGGGGCAACCCUGAUCCAGCAAUGCCGCGUGAGUGAAGAAGGCCUUCGGGUUGUAAAGCUCUUUCGGCCGGGACGAAAUCGCUCUGGUGAAUAUCCAGGGUGGAUGACGGUACCGGAAUAAGAAGCACCGGCUAACUACGUGCCAGCAGCCGCCGUAA